GGUUUAAAAAAAAUGAUACCAUUCGGUUUAACAUUAUAGAAUUAGUUCGGUUCGGUUUAAGAACCUGAAUUCUCAACAUUUCCUAAUGAAGACAACCAUUCAUGUAAGAUUUAUAUCACUCCAAGGUUUUUCUGGUUUACCAGACUAAUGUGGGAUGCUUAAUUACCCAUGUUUGGUUAUCAGACUCAUCCCACCACUCCCUGACCCAUGCAUCUUCCUUUAUUUGGCUACCACCCAUUAUUAGUCUUCCCUAAAGCCACCUCCCUAUGGAGCACUUGUAAGUUGUAAUGUUAUCAAGUUUCUUAAAUUUCAACUUUAUCCCCAUCCUUAAUCACUCAUAUGAAAUAUAGGAUUGUUGAUCCGAUCCUUAAUCCCUUUAGUUCCAAUUGCAGAAAAAAGGGCAUCUCUUUGCCCUUUCUUAAACAAAGAGCAUAUCUCAAAGUGUAAUUGAAUCUCACCCAUUCCGAAGAGAAAAAUCCAAGGAAAUGAAGCAAUUGAAACGGAAAUCGGGACAAAAAGAUAAGAAAUUAAAGCGAGAAUAGCAAUAAUAAAAAAUCGAAUGCUAUAACCACCAGAAAACCGACCGUAGGUUUCGGUUGGUAACCAAAAGACAGAAAGAAUAACAAAUAAUUCCACAAUUAAUAAUCAAAAAUUCAAAUUUGCACUACUACGUAAUUCCAAAUCCAAAGGAAAUAAGUAGACACAAUGUUUUAAACCCAGUGUCCAGUACAUUAAUAUGAUUUGAAUUGAAUGAUGAUAGAAACAUUGUCCAGUACCCAGGAUUAGAAACAAUGUAGAGCUAUCAUAAAUUUAAACCUACAGUGAUGAUAGUCUUAAAAUUAAUUAUGGUUUAACAAUGCUAAAAAUACAGAAAAUUGAGAAAAAUUAGUAGUAGCAAGCUAGCAGCAGUCAGCAGAAGCAGAAAUAGUAGUAAAGUCAAAAAAAUUAAACUAAAGACAAAUAAUUAAACUAAACAUGAACAGAGAGUCAGAGACUUCAUUGUUAAA